UCUCUGGUGGCUCAAAUGGUAAAGAACCUGCCUGCAAUGCAGGGGACCCAGGUUCAACCCCUGGGUUGGGAC
rnacentral:tRNA from 1 species